rnacentral:rRNA from 1 species
GGAGUCUAACAUGUACGCGAGUCAUUGGGCGUUACGAAACCCAAAGGCGAAGUGAAAGUAAAGGGUUGCAUAAGCAUCCUUAGGUGAGAUCCCGGUUCCACGUAGUUGGGCUGGGCGCAUCACCGGCCCGUCUCAUGAUGUGCUACAUCGGGGCGGCGCAUGAGCGUACAUGUUGAAACCCGAAAGAUGGUGAACUAUGCUUGCGCAGGCUGAAGCCAGAGGAAACUCUGGUGGAGGGCCGCAAUGAUUCUGACGUGCAAAUCGAUCAUUAGACGUGAGUAUAGGGGCGAAAGACUAAUCGAACCAUCUAGUAGCUGGUUCCCUCCGAAGUUUCCCUCAGGAUAGCUGGUACUCAGGGAAUAAACAGUUUUAUCCGGUAAACCGAAUGACUAGAGGUAUUGGGGUCGAAAUGAUCUCAACCUAAUAUCAAACUUUAAAUGGGUGAGACGCUGGACUCGCUUAAUUGGAGUCUGGCAUUGAAUGUGAGUGCCUAGUGGGCCAUUUUUGGUAAACAGAACUGGCGCUGUGGGAUGAACCACACGUUCGGCUAAGGUGCCUAACACGACGCUCAUGAGAUACCACACAAGGUGUUGGGUGAUCUAGACAGCAGGACGGUGUCCAUGGAAGUUGGAAUCCCCUAAGGAGUGUGUAACAACUCACCUGCCAAAUCAACCAGCCCUGAAAAUGGAUGGCGCUGGAGCGUUGGACCUAUACCGAACCGAUACCGCAAGACUCUUGGAGGCGGUGUCGAGUAGGAGGGUCUCCGUGGUGAACGUUGAAACUACGUCCGUGAGGCUGGGUGGAGCCGCCACGGGUGCAGAUCUUGGUGGUAGUA